UAGGCGGAUCGGCAGGCGUCUUGUGAAAGCCCCCGGCUCAACCGGGGAACAGCAGGGCGAACCGCCGGUCUCGAGGUUGGUAGGGGUCGCUGGAACGCUCGGUGGAGCGGUGAAAUGCGUAGAUAUCGAGCGGAACGCCGGAGGUGAAGACGGGCGACUGGGCCAAUCCUGACGCUGAGGCACGAAAGCGUGGGGAUCAAACAGGAUUAGAUACCCUGGUAGUCCACGCUGUAAACGAUGCGCACUUGAUCGGUGCGGGUUUGACCCCGUGUCGGUCGCAGAGAAAUCGCUAAGUGCGCCGCCUGGGAAGUACGGUCGCAAGGCUAAAACUCAAAGGAAUUGACGGGGGCUCACACAAGCGGUGGAGCAUGUUGCUUAAUUCGAUGCAACGCGAAGAACCUUACCCGGGUUUGACAUGUACGGAUUAGUUCCUGGAAACAGGAAUGACGCCCGCAAGGGUGGAACGUACACAGGUGCUGCAUGGCUGUCGUCAGCUCGUGCUGUGAAGUGUCGGGUUAAGUCCUCUAACGAGCGCAACCCCUGUCGCUAGUUGCCAGCGCGUCAUGGCGGGGACUCUAGCGAGACUGCCGGUGUCAAACCGGAGGAAGGUGGGGAUGACGUCAAGUCCUCAUGGCCUUUAUAUCCGGGGAUGCAAACGUGCUACAAUGGCGCGCACAAAGCGACGCAAGGCCGCAAGGCGGAGCAAAUCGCAAAAAACGCGCCCCAGUUCGGAUUGCAGGCUGCAACUCGCCUGCAUGAAGCCGGAAUCGCUAGUAAUCGGGGAUCA
rnacentral:rRNA from 1 species